UGGGAAUUUGGACAAUGGGCGAAGCCUGAUCCAGCAAUGCCGCGUGUGUGAAGAAGGCCUUCGGGUUGUAAAGCACUUUUGUCCGGAAAGAAAUCCUUGGCUCUAAUACAGUGCGGGGGAUGACGGUACCGGAAGAAUAAGCACCGGCUAACUACGUGCCAGCAGCCGCGGUAAUACGUAGGGUGCAAGCGUUAAUCGGAAUUACUGGGCGUAAAGCGUGCGCAGGCGGUUUGCUAAGACCGAUGUGAAAUCCCCGGGCUCAACCUGGGAACUGCAUUGGUGACUGGCAGGCUAGAGUAUGGCAGAGGGGGGUAGAAUUCCACGUGUAGCAGUGAAAUGCGUAGAGAUGUGGAGGAAUACCGAUGGCGAAGGCAGCCCCCU
rnacentral:rRNA from 1 species